AGGGUUUGAUUAUGGCUCAGGACGAACGCUGGCGGCGUGCCUAACACAUGCAAGUCGAACGAAGACCAUAGAGGAGCUUGCUUUAAUAUGGUUUUAGUGGCGGACGGGUGAGUAACGCGUGAGGACUUGUCGAGUACAGGGGGACAACAGGUGGAAACGUCUGCUAAUACCCCAUAAGCCUUCGGGUAAAAGGAGCGAUCCGGUACACGAGAGACUCGCGUUCUAUCAGCUAGUAGGUGGGGUAACGGCCCACCCAGGCCAAGACGGAUAGCCGGACUGAGAGGUCGAUCGGCCACACUGGAACUGAGACACGGUCCAG
rnacentral:rRNA from 1 species